rnacentral:rRNA from 1 species
UUGCCUGCACCUGCCGGCGACCGGCGCACGGGUGAGUAACACGUAUGGAACCUGCCCGCCACAGGGGGAUAACCCGGGGAAACCCGGCCUAAUACCCCAUGCCGCCCGGACCGGGCAUCCGGUCCGGGCGAAAGGAGGAAUCCGGUGGCGGCUGGGCAUGCGGCGCAUUAGCUUGACGGCGGGGUAACGGCCCACCGUGGCGACGAUGCGUAGGGGUUCUGAGAGGAAGGUCCCCCACAUUGGAACUGAGACACGGUCCAAACUCCUACGGGAGGCAGCAG